rnacentral:rRNA from 1 species
GAUGAACGCUGGCGGCGUGCCUAAUACAUGCAAGUCGAACGAAACUUCUUUAUCACCGAGUGCUUGCACUCACCGAUAAAGGGUUGAGUGGCGAACGGGUGAGUAACACGUGGGCAACCUGCCCAAAAGAGGGGGAUAACACUUGGAAACAGGUGCUAAUACCGCAUAACCAUAGUUACCGCAUGGUAACUAUGUAAAAGGUGGCUAUACUACCGCUUUUGGAUGGGCCCGCGGCGCAUUAGCUAGUUGGUAGGGUAAAGGCUUACCAAGGCAAUGAUGCGUAGCCGAAUUGAGAGGUUGAUCGGCCACAUUGGGACUGAGACACGGCCCAACCUCCUACGGGAGGCAGCAGUAGGGAAUCUUCCACAAUGGGCGAAAGCCUGAUGGAGCAACGCCGCGUGGGUGAAGAAGGUCUUCGGAUCGUAAAACCCUGUUGUUAGAGAAGAAAGUGCGUGAGAGUAACUGUUCACGUUUCGACGGUAUCUAACCAGAAAGCCACGGCUAACUACGUG